UCCUCAAUAAAGUUAUAUUGAACAUUUAAAAAAAACAUAACUACUGUACUUGUAUACAUGUGACUAUAAAAUAAAGAUGCAAAAGGAAUCAGAAAUCAUGUAGGCAAAGGAGGAGAUGUUGUUCUGCCAAGAAACAGAAAUAAGUUCUUCCCUGUAACUAGUCUUAAAUUGGUCUCUGGGUUUCCUAGUAGGCAAAGUAAAAAAGGGAACACAAUGUGUUGCAAGCUCUUACUGUCAGGUGAAAGAAAGAGAGUAGAAGAAACAACUGUUUCCUACCAUUGAGUUCUAAACCAAAUUUAUCAGUGGAAUUAUAUGAAAAUGAAAUUGAGCAAGAUAUUAGAUUAUAUCUCCAGCAGUGAUCAUCAAAGGAUAUAGAAGCACCCUUCAUACCCAGACUUGUCAUUUGAAUCUUAAAUUAGACACAGUGCUCUGCCCCCAGGACAAACGUCUCACAGAGAUCUACAUUUUUUGAUCCCCUAUAGCUGUUGGAUAAACUCUUCUCCCUUCCUCGACUCAUAGUUUUUCAAGAGUGGUACACAUUCCUAGUUUCCACAUCACACCUCCUAUUCACUUCUUAAUUUGUGAAGCCAAACUUCUGCCCCGACUCUCACCUAAAGAUAGUUCUUCAAAAUGACUUCCUGGUCACCGUCCAUAGGCCUGUUUAUGACUUUUAUUCCUCUGCAGAUCUUCGCUCAGGUGCUAUAACAAAAUACCAGAGACCAAGUGGCUUAAACAACAGGCAUUGAUUUUCUCACUGUCUGGAGUCUGGGAAGUCCAAGAUCAAAGUGCCAGGCAGUUUGGUUCCUGGUGAAGGCCGGCUUCCUGGCUCACACAACCAACCUUGUCCCUGGGUCCUCACUUGGCUGAGACGAGGAGAAGGGGAGGGUGAUGUACAGCGAUCUGAGAAGCUGAUCAGGGCAUGGACCAUUUCCUCACCCUAAGCAGCAUCCCCAGAGGAAGACGACAAAGUCAGCAGGGAGCGGGAUGAUAGAAGGGCCAGGCCAGGACUCCAGGGACAGGAAAAACAUGUAAAAGAUGGGGCUGGGGGCUUUAAAAGGAAGAGAAGAGGGCAGAGCUCCAAGGAGUGGGGAAGUUGUCUAGGAGAAGACUAGACUCCAGCAGAGUUGAAGAGGGAAGCUGUAAGGAAGACUUGAAAGACACGACCAGGGAUCAUCACAGUGGCUAGUGUGAUCCUUGUCAUUUUCGAGUCCCAGAAAAGGACGCUGUGUGAACCAGGUGGACUCAGCUGGACUGGGAUUGAUUCCUGCCUCUACGCACGGAUUUGGUGAUUUGAGGGACGUGACUUAACCUUUCUGAGCUAUUUCUCAAAUGCUUGUUCUCAGGGUGUAAGGAUAUUGCUCCAGAGUUGCCCAGGACCAGGUCCUCAAUCAAAUGCAGAACAUAAGACAAGGGAGUCAACAUAAAGUUGGAAACUGACCUGACAGAUGACACGAGAGGGACGGAAACUUUGAGAACAAGGGUGGGAAACGUUCUGACUAUCUGUGUCUUAUGCCAUCUCUAUUCCUGAUUAUUUGGUUGAUUUUGUUUUUUUCCUUAAGCUAGUAUGAAUUGGGUUUCUGUGACUUGAGACUGCAAGUGUCAUGACUGAUGUGUCAACCCUCCAAAAAGAUUUUAGAGGAGAUCCCAUACCCACCCCCUCCUGUCCUAGCAUCUCUUAGAAGUUCUAAGAGAUGCUUAGAGAACAGAAUAUUCUUUAUUCUGUUGGAACAGAACUCUAAUUUUUUAUGUCCAUGGCUAUUCAGGUUCUGCAAUACCUUUUUCUAGAACUGAGGUUAAGAGGAUCUGCCUUUGGUCCUGACAAUGACCUUGUUGAUUACAGUAAUCUUAUUAU